rnacentral:rRNA from 1 species
CAAGCGUUGUCCGGAUUUAUUGGGCGUAAAGAGCUCGUAGGCGGCUUGGUAAGUCGGAUGUGAAACCUCCAGGCUCAACCUGGAGUCGCCAUCCGAUACUGCCAUGGCUAGAGUCCGGUAGGGGCCCACGGAAUUCCUGGUAUAGCGGUGAAAUGCGCAGAUAUCAGGAGGAACACCAAUGGCGAGGGCAGCUCGCUGGGACGGUACUGACGCUGAGACGCGAAAGCGUGGGGAGCAAACAGG